AAGCACUACACUUUGAGCCUGACUGACAUUUCCCAUGGUCACACAGGUCAAGAAGUAGUGCAAGAUCAUUUCUUGUUAUAACUGGAGUUUCUUGGCAAUUUUCCCAAGUCUCUCUUUUAAAGCAAGAUACAGAA